rnacentral:rRNA from 1 species
GGGUCUGCGUUUCAUUAGCUAGCUUGGUAGGGUAAUGGCCUACCAAGGCAACGAUGAGUAGCUGGUCUGAGAGGAUGAUCAGCCACACUGGAACUGAAACACGGUCCAGACUCCUACGGGAGGCAGCAGUGGGGAAUAUUGCGCAAUGGGCGAAAGCCUGACGCAGCAACGCCGUGUGAGGGAUGAAGGCUUUCGGGUCGUAAACCUCUGUCGGAAGGGAAGAAUGGGCAAGGGUCCAAUAGGCCCUUGUUUUGACGGUACCUUUAGAGGAAGCACCGGCUAACUCCGUGCCAGCAGCCGCGGUAAU